rnacentral:lncRNA from 1 species
AGAGUAAUGAAGUCUUGAUUAUGUAAUAGAUAGUGUGGACAUGAAAAAUGUUGAGAUGUUAUGUAUAAGUACAGUAUAGAAAUGUAAUGUAAAGAUGUUCAUGGAUGUUAGAGGUGUGCUUGACCAUAGAGUAUUGUUAUCCCUUUUAAUACAUGAUCUCAGAUGUUUAUGAUGUUUAUGUAAACCAACUCAACACAUGUUAUGUCACCCAUUGGGGCAUUGAUGAGAUCCCAAAGAGGGGUCAAUGUUUAUGGUUACGUUUAUGUUUAGUGCA